rnacentral:rRNA from 1 species
GACGAACGCUGGCGGCGUGCCUAACACAUGCAAGUCGAACGGAAAGGCCCUGCUCUUGUGGGGUUCUCGAGUGGCGAACGGGGGAGUAACACGUGAGUAACCUCCCCUUGACUUUGGGAGAACUUCAGGAAACUGGGGCGAAUAUCGGAUAUGAUCUCCUGCUGCAUGGUGUUCGUUGGAAAGUUGCGGCGGUUGGGGAUGUACUCGCGGCUUAUGAGCUUGUUGGUGGGGUAGUGGCUUACCAAGGCUUUGACGGCUAGCCGGCCUGGGAGGGUGACCGGCCACAUUGGGCCUGAGAUACGGCCCAGACUGCUACGGGAGGCAGCAGUGGGGAGUAUUGCACAAUGGGCGGGAGCCUGAUGCAGAGACGCCGGGUGCGGGAUGACGGCUUUCGGGUUGUAAACCGCUUUCGCCUGUGACGAAGCGUGAGUGACGGUAAUGGGUCAAGAAGCACCGGCUAACUACGUG